AAAAGAAUACGUGAUUUUCCUCAUAUAAUAUUGGGAAUAUGGCCCAGAAGUUUCUACCUAAUGACCGUAAAUCAUUGGACUAUGAAGGAAAGCAAUAUACUU
rfam:Anaerobacillus alkalilacustris strain DSM 18345 Ga0137925_128, whole genome shotgun sequence.